rnacentral:rRNA from 1 species
AGAGUUUGAUCCUGGCUCAGAACGAACGCUGGCGGCGUGCCUAACACAUGCAAGUCGAACGGGGAUAAGUAGCUUGCUAUUUAUUCUAGUGGCGCACGGGUGAGUAACGCGUAGAUAAUCUGCCUUAGACUCUGGGAUAACAUCUCGAAAGGGGUGCUAAUGCCGGAUAAGCCCACGGGGACGUGAGUUCUUGCGGGAAAAGGGGGCCUCUGCAUAUGCUCUUGAUCUAAGAUGAGUCUGCGUACCAUUAGCUUGUUGGUAGGGUAAUGGCCUACCAAGGCGACGAUGGUUAGCUGGUCUGAGAGGAUGAUCAGCCACACUGGGACUGAGACACGGCCCAGACUCCUACGGGAGGCAGCAGUGGGGAAUUUUGCGCAAUGGGGGAAACCCUGACGCAGCAACGCCGCGUGAGUGAUGAAGGCUUUCGGGUCGUAAAGCUCUGUCUAGAGGGAAGAAGUGAUAUUCGGUUAAUACCCGGGUUUCUUGACGGUACCUCCGAAGGAAGCACCGGCUAACUCCGUGCCAGCAGCCGCGGUAAUA